rnacentral:snRNA from 1 species
AUUGCUUCGUGGCCUUUGGGCUGAGAUCAAGAGUAGUAUCUGCUCUUAUCAGCUUAAAGUACUGAUAAUUUAUAUGCAUCCUUCUCGUUCCCUCUCCUGACCUUAA